AUUGAACGCUGGCGGCAGGCCUAACACAUGCAAGUCGAACGAGUGGCGGACGGGUGAGUAAUGUCUGGGAAACUGCCUGAUGGAGGGAGAAAACUACUGGAAACGGUAGCUAAUACCGCAAACCAUCAGAUGUGCCCAGAUGGGAUUAGCUAGUUGGUGGGGUAACGGCUAACCAAGGCGACGAUCCCUAGCUGGUCUGAGAGGAUGACCAGCCACACUGGGACUGAGACACGGUCCAGACUCCUACGGGAGGCAGCAGUGGGGAAUAUUGCACAAUGGGCGCAAGCCUGAUGCAGCAAUGCCGCGUGUAUGAAGAAGGCCUUCGGGUUGUAAAGUACUUUCAGCGGGGAGGCGUUACCCACAGAAGAAGCAACGGCUAACUCCGUGCCAGCAGCCGCGGUAAUUC
rnacentral:rRNA from 1 species